GACGAACGCUGGCGGCGUGCCUAAUACAUGCAAGUCGAGCGCAGGAAACUGACGGAACUCUUCGGAGGGAAGGCAGCGGAAUGAGCGGCGGACGGGUGAGUAACACGUAAGGAGCCUGCCUCAAGGAUUGGGAUAACUCCGAGAAAUCGGAGCUAAUACCGGAUAGUUCAUCGGACCGCAUGGUCCGGUGAUGAAAGGCGCUUCGGCGUCACCUUGAGAUGGCCUUGCGGUGCAUUAGCUAGUUGGUGGGGUAACGGCCCACCAAGGCGACGAUGCAUAGCCGACCUGAGAGGGUGAUCGGCCACACUGGGACUGAGACACGGCCCAGACUCCUACGGGAGGCAGCAGUAGGGAAUCUUCCACAAUGGACGAAAGUCUGAUGGAGCAACGCCGCGUGAGUGAUGAAGGUUUUCGGAUCGUAAAACUCUGUUGUAAGGGAAGAACACGUACGAGAGGAAAUGCUCGUACCUUGACGGUACCUUACGAGAAAGCCACGGCUAACUACGUGCCAGCAGCCGCUGUAA
rnacentral:rRNA from 1 species